rnacentral:lncRNA from 1 species
CAAGCCACUGCAGUGACAACAACAGAUCGUUAACCCACUGAGCCCCCAGGGAACUCCUGGUCUGGCCUCUUUUAAGGGGUAGUGGUAGAGUGGUCAGCAGCUCCCAGAACUAUUCUUUCCUGGCCGGGACUGAGAUCUAGUUCUUAAUAGUUUGCAAAUAUACAUGGGUUCUUGAGGUGCUUGAGUUGGGGACAGGUUGGACUCCCUUUUGCCUGUUGGUCUGCCUCCCCAGGCUUUAGAACAUCUACCACCAUUCACUAAAGCUUUCUUUUGCCCUCAUCCCCAUGCUAAACCCUCUCUCCUCCUGGACUGCCCCUGCAUUCCUCAACUUCCCACUCCCUUCUUCCUGGGCAAAUAUUGUCCAGAACUGACAGCCCCAGAGGUGUCAGAAUAUGGCUCCAAGGCAAGGCAUAAUCACAGGGUGGAGACCCCCCACCUGCAUGGCUCCAAGGUCUGGAGGGAUGCUGACAAUUAUAGACCCUCAAGGCCUGAAGGAAUCAUCUUCCCUAAAGGCUUCUAAGGUGAAAAAGACUAGUUUGACACCUCUGUCUGGGGCUUUAAGAGUUAUUUUUGUCCUUGAAAUCUAAUAGUGGGUUAUUGGUAAUUAUAGGAAAAAAAUGGAGUGGAAAUAAAAGGUUUUGGGAAGACACUUUUUUCUGCAUCUAGUAUUAUAUUUUGAAUUUCCUACUCAGUUAGACACAACUCCUGACACCAUGACCUUUAUGAUUAUAGAAGAUAAAGGCCCCCAUCGUCCAUGGCCCUGUGAUUUCCACUUUGUUUUUAUCCCUCUAAGUAGCAUAAUUUCUUUGGAUAUUGCAGAGAAGGGAUGUUACCUAUAUGCUUGUUUCACAUACGUCAAGUUCAUUUGUGGUAAGGGCACACAGGGCCUAGUAGAUUGCCCUUCAUUGGUGCUUUAUUCAGAAUGCUCAGAUGAUUUGCUCUGUCAGACACUCUCAGUGGUUCCCUAUUCCUCCCAGACCAAAAGCCUCCCUCCUCCUCUGGGCCUCCUAUUUCCUCUUCACCCUCAGUCUCAGCCACUCUGCCUUAUUCAUUCAUUCAUUUCUCCGUUCAUCCCGUGUACAUGGACCCCAACUCUUCCAUGUUGCAGACCCUGUCCCAGGUUCUGGGGAUGUAGACAGGAAUGACACUAGCCUCUUCUCCAUCUGCCCUCUGUUUUCAAAGUUCUAAUAAGCCAUCAGAAGACAAAUAUGUAAACCCAAACCAUAAGAAGUAUUGUCUGUAAGAAUGUGAUGGAGAUCUGUUUCGAAAGAACAUUCAUCCCAUUGAUUUAAUCAUGAAAUAUGCAGCCCAAAUUCCCCCAAAAAACAGCACCUCCCGUGCAAACAGGAAAACUUUAGACAGCCCUGAAAUGUCACUAGUUAUUGCUGAGAGUCCUCAGGGAAUGAGUUUCAGGCUAGCAGAACCAUCUCUCACUUCAGGGACACCAAGGGGCUCUUAUCCUCUCCGCCUGCCCUGCUCUUUAGUGUCUCUUCCAUUCUCACUGUCCUGCUCCUUGUGGGGACACUGACUUCACAGGGUAGUGUCUGAGCAUUCCUGUACUUAAGGCUUUGGAGAGGUAGACCUGAAACAGGUCCUACUCAGAGGAUGAAAGCUCUGCCUCCAGUUCUGAGUCCCCAGAUCCCAAAGCAGCUGAGCUCUAAGCAGAUACUCCCAGAGCUCUUCCUGAGAUGAUACAGCCAUCUCUGCCUAUUUCUUCAGGCAGGUGACCAGGACCUAACCUGGGGUCAGAUUACAGGCAGAAGAUGUUGCAGCCUUCUCACCUCUGCCUCCUCAAAAUGCCUUAUGUCUUCCCUAGUUAAACAUAGAUGCUUCCAGUUUGCUGCUUGUUCUGCUAGCUGUAAACACAUACUUUAAUAGACACCAAAGGCCCUGGCAUCUGCACAUCAGGAGCAGGGGAUGCUGAACUCAGGAGCCAACUGAAAUCAGAAAACACUAAAGGUAGGAAUGCACGGAGACUCAAGUUGCAAAAGCCAGGAUAUAAUUCCUGAAAAAAAAGGUGGUGGGGGGGGAUUGUGUGGAAAUGGUGGGAAUCAGCUUAAAACAUAUUGAUUUGAUCUCAACUUUCAUAAUUAGAGAGAAAUGUAAAUGCACAUUUGGCAAACUAUUAGAACUAAAACCCACAGUUCUUAAUUACAAUUUACCACCAGAUGUAUAAGCAGAUAAUUUGUAUCUACAAAGACAGAAAACCAAGGCAGCAGUACCAAUGCCAAAAAAACAGAAAUCUUACAAUAAGAGGAUAUGAGUGGGGCAAGAUACAUGUGAACCCAAUAAUUAUAAAUUCCUUCACAUCUAAUGUUUAAAUUGAUGAUUUUCAUGUUGAGUUAAUGAUAAAUCUAAGAGAAUCACCUAAACAGGAUGGAAAAGGAAGAAAAGUUAUAAAUAAUAGGAUGGAUAAAGGCAAUACAAGAGAACACAACGAAAGAAGAUUAGUCUCAGAAAUAUUAACAUUGGUCUAUGUAUAAGCUAGAGACAAAAGCAUUAAAUAAUGGUCAAAGAAGUUUUAUCAGAUGUGAAAACAUUAAAAGGAGUUAACAUAGUGUGAGGAAACAGAGGCUACUGUCCUGGCAGAUUCUUUUUUUUUUUUUUUUAACCUCCCAAAUUCCCAACCCAUUCCACUCCCUUCCCCUCCUCUUUGGCAUUGUUUUUACCUAUAAAAGGGAAGGAGAAAUGGUCCAGGAAAUAUGGGAGUUAUUUGUCAAGGGAAGUUUAAAAAUAUAUACUCUACUGUAUUAUAUUUGAAAACAACAUGGGUUUCAUGGAGAACAAAGAAAAGUAAUGUAGAAGAAAUCAAAGGUCGCCCAUGAUCUCAGAAGCCAAGGGUUGGUGCUCCUUUAACAGUGUUUGGGGUGUGGUGGUUCUGGAGAGGAUUGCCCCUUAGAAGGCCUGGGUGAGAGAGGAAGAAGGAAGGGAGAAUGACCACCCACAGAGGAGAGGAGCUGAGGGGUGAGCACGGUCACUGCUUACCUCCCUUCCUACUCCUGCACCACAUUGUCUAGAAACAUAAGGAUUUUGUCCCAAACUGCCUUAUUUUCCCCUGGAAGGAAGGCCCAAUAUCACUGAGUGGCUGUGAUUUGCAAUGAGGAAAAGAAAAAGGGGGAAAGGAGCAGAGUGAUGGACAGUAUUCCAACUUUAUUUUUUAAAUAACAAUUACAUUUGCUUUAAAACAUCAGAAAAAAUGCAAAACUAUCUGAGUUCCUGUCAUGGCUCAGAGGGAUAAGGUCCUGAAGUUGUCUCUGUAAGGAUGCGUGUCUGAUUCUUGGUCUUGCUCAGUGGGUUAGGGAUCCAGCUUCUCUGCUACCUGAGGUGUAGGGGCAUAGUUCGCAGAUGAGGCUUAGAUCUAGUGUUGCCAUGGCUGCAUGUCCAAUUUGACCCCGAACCCAGGAACACUAGCCCUUAAUUUUGUUGAAAUCUUUUUUACUCUUCCUCUUGAAAAGUUCCAAAAUAUAGUACAUUGUAUCUUCCAUCCUUAAAAAAAUGUGUUCCUUUUUCACUAUAGGCAGUUCACCCGAGGCAAAGUUAGUUGCUUUUAGUGUGUUAUAUAAUUUUGCUGAAUAUCAAACUGAUUUUCACAAGUUUUCAUCCUAGUCCUCAAAUUAAUAACAUGACUGUUUUCUUAUGACCUAAUUUUGAUUGUUUUAUUAAUAAAAGCUAAUGGAAAAGGAUCCUUUAACAAAAAAAAAUGGAGCCAAGUCAAGGGAGGGAGGAGACUAAAAACCCAAGGCCUCAUUUGUGAUUUCUGUCCCCAUGUUUAGAGAAAGAAGAGGAAGAGGAGGAUGGAAGAAAGGGACUUAGAGAUGGGCCAGCGUGAAGGGGGUGGGAGAAGAGAAAGGCCAAUGGAAAAGGGGAGCCCAGAUCAAGUCCUAGAAGGAAGAAACUACUUAAACCAGGCUGAGUGGGCAGCUUAAAGGUACCUGGAAGGUAAGCUUGCUUAAUUUUAGUGCUUCCGCAUUUGAUUAGCACAGGUCAAUCCCCAAAUGGAGGUUGCUUCAGUGAGAGGGCUGGGCAGUCACCAAGAGCCCACCCAAGGGGAAUGUAUGCUGAGUGAAGGAUGAGAUUGAAUCCAACACCAUCCCCAAGAAAGCCUCUGUUUCCUAUGAGGAAUAAGGCAAUUUGAUUUUUCACACCAAUGCCAGCUUUCUCAGGCUAGAGGUAGUCCACCAAAUAUAGAGGAAAAGGACCUUUUUAAUUUGUGUCUUUUAUGCCAGCAAUCGUUUUACAAUAACAAAAAAGCCGUGCUCCCUAAUAAAUCUCUGGGAUUGAGAACAGAAAGUACAGAAGUAGGAAAAGUGGUAGGUGGGAAAUCUGGCUUAAGUGUGCUUUUGGCCGCGUCUUCUGGAUAAUUAUAAUGGAGUCUGCUUCUCCCCCAUCCAUGCCUGUCAUCCUCAGUAUUAAAUUACAGUGAUGAUGAUGAUUACUGAUAAUUAUCGCUUUCAUGUACUCGGCAUUUUCAACUUUCUAAUGUACUUACACGUGGAUCCCUUCCCCGUGAUCCUGGGAGACAGAAAGGGCAGGCUUUGCUCCACCCAUCUUUGUGAUGAGCAAGGCUGUGGUUUCCUUGCCCUGGUUCACCCAGUUUGUUGGGGA